rnacentral:sRNA from 1 species
UUUAUGUAUGUAUUAAUCGGUAUUAAUGGAUAAUAUCACAGCUAAGGCCAUCUUCCCUGCGGGAAGACCAUCGUGGGACCCAGCACGGAUAACUGACACCAUCAGCGACAAAUUUGCAGCAAUCAAAGCGUCAGCGACAAAGUCGUAACGAUCAGCAGAAGCAGCAGUCCAAGUAAAAACCGUGAGGACUCGAUUAAUUGGCGCCCGAGCAGGGACCGGUACGGAAGUAAGAGAUAUCGCGAGUUAGUGAAAGUGAUUUAACCACUGCGCAAAUACGAACAUACCUCCGCGAAACAGGACAGUGUCGAAAAGUGCAAAUUCUAUCAAAGCGCCUCAAAUAGCCGCAGAUACGAACAAAGGCCAGUGCCAGUUCUAUUAAAAGCGACUCAAGUAGCCGCAGAUACGCACAACACAGGUUGAUCAAAAGCGCCUCAAGCAGCCGCAGAUCUAAACCCAAAAAAGUUUCAAAAUAUAUCCGUACCGAUGCCACAACAACACCGCCGACAACCCUGUAGUGUCCAUCCGCAGGGUACCGUGAGUGAAGUAUCCAGGGGAACCUGAGUCAACCAUCUCGACUCGAAAUCGUCGUGGGACAAAAUGGAUCAAUUCUAAAAGAUCGUCGCGGGAGAUUCUCCUGAAUGCUGAUUACCCUGUAAGCAUAGUAACUAAGAAAAAAUCUAAGAGUCGAAGAUAG